rnacentral:rRNA from 1 species
GAUGAACGCUGGCGGCGUGCCUAAUACAUGCAAGUCGAGCGAAUGGAUUAAGAGCUUGCUCUUAUGAAGUUAGCGGCGGACGGGUGAGUAACACGUGGGUAACCUGCCCAUAAGACUGGGAUAACUCCGGGAAACCGGGGCUAAUACCGGGUAACAUUUUGAACCGCAUGGUUCGAAAUUGAAAGGCGGCUUCGGCUGUCACUUAUGGAUGGACCCGCGUCGCAUUAGCUAGUUGGUGAGGUAACGGCUCACCAAGGCAACGAUGCGUAGCCGACGUGGGAGGGCGAUCGGCCACACUGGGACUGAGACACGGCCCAGACUCCUACGGGAGGCAGCAGUAGGGAAUCUUCCGCAAUGGACGAAAGUCUGACGGAGCAACGCCGCGUGAGUGAUGAAGGCUUUCGGGUCGUAAAACUCUGUUGUUAGGGAAGAACAAGUGCUAGUUGAAUAAGCUGGCACCUUGACGGUACCUAACCAGAAAGCCACGGCUAACUACGUGCCAGCAGCCGCGGUAA